UUUUCCUCUGUUAUGUAUAAUGAUGACUCCCAUCAAACAUAAUGUUAGCAAUAUUUACACCUUUUAAUUUAUACUGUUUAUUUCUGUCUACAUGUGUGAAUUUGCCUUCAUUAGUUUCAGAAAAGAGCGAUGAUGUAUCGGUCAGUGGGCGGCAGCACGAGACUCCGCAAACUAGUCUGUAAGCAAAGUAGACGAAGGCAUCGAGGUUGCGGCCUGCCAUCAUUGUUAUUUUGCUUAAGGGACUGAAUAUGUUUCAUGCAGAAAUAUUAGCAUUUCCCUUAUAUCUACCAAAACUGCUUGUUUCACAGACUGCAGUUUUGUUUUGAUCCGAUGUGGUGUGCAAAUACAACCGUAUCUGCAAUGGGUUGUGGGGCAUUAACAUUUGUAACUCUAAUUUUGUUUUGACACACUGUGAAAAGAACGUUGAGAACAUCACCACUCUACAGGAAGACACAGUCCAGUAAUGGGUGUCAGAAGUUCAGUAGUGAACGACAGAAACAAACAAUCAAAAUUACCUGCAGAAAGCCCUUGAUGGACGCUUCAGCUGCAUCGUCAGACUGGCAGUACUGAUGCAUUUACUGAGAGGGGACGUGAGGGCCUACUCUGCGUGCUCAGAGUUCAAGCCCAGCAGGCUGCAGCGGUCCUGACAUAUUCUGGAACAGCAGCACAGUCUUUAGAUGACUCCUCUGAAGAUGAAAACAUGGCGAGGUACUUCUCCACUGAUGAAGAACU